rnacentral:lncRNA from 1 species
GCUUCCCAGAUACCUGGGAUCACAGAGGAAUGAGGCAUUCGCAGGCUAAAUGACUCGUGCGGGUCCCCCAAUAGCUGAUGGCGAAGCUGUGAAUUCAGACCCCCACUUCGCUUGAGCAGUGACGGGAAGCUGGUGACUUCAGGCUCUGGCAGGCUGGCCCUGGUGACCUGCCCACCUCCUCUUCUGUCUCCUGGAGGCUGGCCCUUGUGACCUGCCCACCUCCUCUUCUGUCUCCUGGAGGCUGGCCCUGGUGACCUGCCCACCUCCUCUUCUGUCUCCUGGAGGCUGGCCCUAGUUGCAGGAAAACAGGCUUAGGGCUGCCACUGAUUCUACAUUAUGAUUCCCAAGAUUAACUGGCGUUCUGUAGGUCGGCACAAAGUCGUGGCUUUGCCAUCUGACGGAGGACGCG